AUUGAACGCUGGAGGCAGGCCUAACACAUGCAAGUCGAGCGGAGCGGCGGACGGGUGAGUAAUGCCUAGGAAUCUGCCUGGUAGUGGGGGAUAACGUCCGGAAACGGGCGCUAAUACCGCAUACUAUCAGAUGAGCCUAGGUCGGAUUAGCUAGUUGGUGGGUUAAAGGCCUACCAAGGCGACGAUCCGUAACUGGUUUGAGAGGAUGAUCAGUCACACUGGAACUGUGACACGGUCCAGACUCCUAAGUGAGGCAGCAGUGGUGAAUAUUGGACUAUGGUCGAAAGCCUGAUCCAGCCAUGCCGCGUGUGUGAAUAAGGUCUUCGGAUUGUAAAGCACUUUAAGUUGGGAGACGUUACCAACAGAAUAAGCACCGGCUAACUUCGUGCCAGCAGCCGCGGUAAUUC
rnacentral:rRNA from 1 species